UUUUUCCUAAACCAUAAUAACUUUUUCAUUGCUAUCAAAAAUUAAAAAUUAUUUGAUUAAUUUACCUAAAAGAUUAAUUUUUUGAAAACUUAUAAAACACUUUUGAGUCUUAUUCUAAUCUUUUUUAAUAAAAAUAAUGAACAAAGUUUAUAAAAUGCAUAACAAUUCAAAAUUUUUCAAAAAUUAAAUUAUCGCCUGGGUCAAACCAUUAUAUUUCAACUAAAGUCGUUGCUGACUAAUUUUGCUUUGAAGUCCUUUCGUUUAUAAAAAUUUUCAAAGUGGCAGAAACAAAUUUUUUUCUAUAUAGAAACAUGUUAUAUGAGAUCCUGAUCAAUUGUCCGGAUGCAUGUAUGUAUGAGUGUGUGGAUCCCUUUUUUGUUUAUACGGUAACUUUAACAGGUUUUAAAAAAUUAUUUAGAUUUAGAUAAAAUUUUGUAGGCUUAUUUAUCAUAUUAAUGUCUCAAAAUUGACGAAAGGAUUUUAAAAAAUACCCAAAAAAAAUUUUAUCGUCUUUUUUCUAAAAUUUUUUUUAAUUGGAAAGAUUUAUAAAUAGCAAAAUUUAAGGUGAUAUAUAAUAAAAUCGUCUUCCUUACGUCAGGACAAAUCGAUUGGUAUAUAUGUCGUAGGCCGAUAGACAUUUCAGGCCGUUAGCCAAAAUCCUGGCUUAUAUUCUAAUGGCGGGCCAGUAGAAUACUGCGCUAAUGGGCUACUAGACUGACAUUCUUCAGGCCGUUAGAAGAAACUCUGUUUACAUUAUAAUUCAACACACGUUAAUUAAUAUAAAUAUUAGUAAUUGCCUAAUGAGGAAACGAGCGUUUACGAGACUCAACCUUCUAUUUCGGAAGUCUGUGGUGAAGAUGAUGAGGCAAGUUCUUCAGAAGCUUCUGGUAUUAAUGCAGUCCUAAAUUCUAUUCCUCCAAAAUGUUCAAUUUGUCAAAUGAACAUUGAAAAUGAUCACGGGAAUCCAUUGACAAAUGAUGAGCAAGAUUUGAUUUGUUCAUUAUGUGUCUUUAGCUGUACCGACUGUCGAUCGCGGCCCUUUAGAUUUUAAUAAUAUUCUUGGUGUCAUAACUGACUUUAAAAAUAACGUGUAUCAAAUUGGUACAAAGCACGGUUUUAUAAAAGGAUGGUUUCCCAGAACUGAUAUAAGAAGUGUAGAAACUACGGUUUUAUUAAUAAAUGACGUGCCCAUGGGUGAAUAUUUAAGUUUACGAGAAGCUGCAUCUCUGCAGUCCCUAAGUGGAGGUACAAAAAAUGCAAUUGCAAAAUUAAUGAACAUCAGUGCAGAACGAGAAGAUAUGCUUGUUUUAAGGCAAAUAUUCUGUGCAACUCACGAUGCCAUUUGAGUUCUUCGUGUUGCAAUAAAUAAAAUUUAAAAUAAAAAAAGAAAUUUGAACAUGAAAUCGUUAAAUUAAUAUUGUUUCCUAUAAAUUGUUUCUUUUAAUGACCUAAAAAUUGUCAGACUAGUAGCCAUCCAGCAAAUUAUUCGGCUAAUGGCCUAUGCUAUUGUCUACUGGCCGGCUUUUAGAAUAUAAGCCAGGAUUUUGGCUAACGGCCUGAAAUAUCUAUCGGCCUACGACAUAUAUAAAGUAUAGUUUUGAUUUAAAUUCAAAGAAUUAAUGAAAAUUAAAAAAUCUAUAAUUCACAUUUUAGCUAUAAAUUUUGUGAUUAUUUAAAUUUAAGUUUAUAUAUGAAAUAAUUGUAUUCCUUGCAUUAAAACGAAUCGAUUGGUAUAUGGGUCAUUCUCACAAAAAGUACAAAUGACACGUUGUUUAAAGUUAAAUAAAAUUAAGAAAAGCUAAAUUUCAAGUACUUGAGCGAAAAAUACUUUCCCACGAUAUUUGAUGUAUUUGUCAUUAUGUUUUCGGAAACUUUCUAAUUUUUUUUUAUGUUUUUCAAUAUCUGGAAACCAUGUGUUGGCCAGCGUCGAGUCUACCCGUUUACGACAUUGCCUGCGUUCUACCCUGGCCAGCGGAUCUCGCCCGUUAGUAAAUAACAAGAUCCUUUUUUGUGAAAAAAACAUACCAAUUUUGACAUUUCGGUAAAGGACAAGACCCUUUCCGCACAGCCCUGAGAAAAGUCACUACGAUAGUCAACUCAAAAUUCUAACGAACCUUUCAUGUGUUAAUAAAAGAAGUCAAAUCUCUUUAUCUCUUUUCGACAGUCUGGACUAGAUUAAUUCCGCGUCCGCAAGAUCAAACGAUCACUCUUCCUUGCAAGCUUUCUUAGAAAAUACGCAUCCUUGCAAGGAAACCUCUUGCGGACCCUCCAAAUUGUCCCUUUCAGUAAUCAGAACUCUCUUUUCAGUAAAUUGUGUACAUUCUCUUUUUUUCUUUUUGUUAUAAAAACGACGUUCGUGUGAAUACUAUCAAUUAGUACAAAAAAAGAAGACAUUGUAAAUUGAUUAAAUAAACUAAAGUGAAUGUGAA